AUACUUACCUGACGCGAGAGGCACCUUGAUCAACUAGGAGGUCCUCUCAGGAUGAGGCCCUUUCAUUGCACUUCGACUGGGUUGACUCCUGCGAUUACCCCUAAUGUGGGAAACUCGAGCGUAUAAUUUCUGGUAGUGGGGACCUGCGUUCGCGCUCGUCCCCU